AUUGAACGCUGGCGGCAUGCCUUACACAUGCAUGUCGAGCGGCAGCGGACCUUCGGGUGCCGGCGAGUGGCGAACGGGUGAGUAAUGUAUCGGAACGUACCUUUCAGUGGGGGAUAACGUAGCGAAAGUUACGCUAAUACCGCAUAUUCUGUGAGCAGGAAAGCAGGGGAUCGCAAGACCUUGCGCUGAUUGAGCGGCCGAUAUCAGAUUAGCUAGUUGGUGAGGUAAAGGCUCACCAAGGCGACGAUCUGUAGCGGGUCUGAGAGGAUGAUCCGCCACACUGGAACUGAGACACGGUCCAGACUCCUACGGGAGGCAGCAGUGGGGAAUUUUGGACAACGGGGGCAACCCUGAUCCAGCCAUGCCGCGUGAGUGAAGAAGGCCUUCGGGUUGUAAAGCUCUUUCGUCCGGGAAGAAAUCGCAUCAGCUAAUACCUGGUGUGGAUGACGGUACCGGAAUAAGAAGCACCGGCUAACUACGUGCCAGCCGCCGCAGUAACAC
rnacentral:rRNA from 1 species